UUCGCAAUGCCCGAAAGGGUGACGAUGCGACGCUGCGUGAGCGAAGAAGGCCCUAGGGUUGUAAAGCUCUGUCGAGGGUUAUGAAAUAUAGAUGGGUUAAUACCCCAUUUAUUUGAUAAAAGCCCAAAAGGAAGCCACGGCUAACUCUGUGCCAGCAGCCGCGGUAAUACAGAGGUGGCGAGCGUUGUUCGGUAUUAUUGGGCGUAAAGAGCACGUAGGUGGUUUUGUAAGUCAGGUGUGAAAGCCUUCUGUUCAAAGGAAGAACGGCAUCUGAAACUGCAGAUCUUGAGUGUAGGAGGGGAGAGUGGAACUUCUGGUGGAGCGGUGAAAUGCGUAGAUAUCAGAAGGAACGUCGGCGGCGAAAGCGACUCUCUGGCCUAUUACUGACACUGAGUGUGCGAAAGUUAGGGGAGCAAACGGGAUUAGAUACCCCGGUAGUCCUAACCGUAAACGAUGGGCACUAAGUAGAGGGGUUUU
rnacentral:rRNA from 1 species